ACCUAAGCCUCCCCUGGUGCAGCUUGAGGCCACUUACUCCUGUCCUGUCUCUGGCUGCCUGGGAAAAGAGGCCAUCGCCUACUUUUCCACAGGCUCCUCUCAGGUAUCCCUAAAGAGCUAUGAGGUCACCCCUGCACCUUCUUUUUUCCAGCCCCAACUCCCUCAGCUGGAUUCACCAUCCAGGCCUAACGAUGAACUGGCACGCCCAAAAUCCCCAUGUUGCUUUGAUGAAUAGAAAACACCUUUCAUGUGGCAUCUGAGUGACAGCAGCAAUUAUGACAAUUGAGAUUUGCUGUGGAGUGACACUGGUACAAUGCUGACAGCUGACCUGCACCCUCCAAAGCCUCCUCUUCAGGUGUAGAAUGAUGUGGAGCAAUAGGAAGGAUACUCUUCAAAAACAAGGUCACAGUGUUUUCCCCCACAGUGUGGGAAGAGUUGAGACAAGAGGCUGGUGAAUUUGCAGAUGCUCUAAUUAAACUUAUAAAGUCUGUAAAGAAAACUAUUUAAUGACAUUUUAGAAUUGUAACAUGCACAGU